CAUAGCUUCUAUGCUUCAUGACUAGAGCAACUUCUGGAUUGGAUAUUUUUUAUUUUUGCAAUUGUAUGUAUACUGAUGCACGAAUUUUAUUUAUCCAUGCAAUAUGCUUGAAGGAGCUAAAACUUUGACUUGAUGAAGGACAUGGGAAGGGAUUUUACCCAAAAACAAGGGUUCGAGUGAUUUCAUUGGGUACAUGUUGUUGGGCUUCUAUUUGACGAAGCUCUCUGCCUUUUAGAAAUAGAGAAACUUUGAUACUCUGGUAGAGCAAGAUUAUUAAUACUUUAUUUUUCAAAACUAAAAGAAAUUAAAUUCGAAAUAGAAUUCUUCUGAAAAUUAGCUAAAUGUUUUAUUAAUAAUAAAAUUAAAGUGGUGCUUAAAAUCUCAAAAACUAGACCAUGAAAAGUAUAACUAACUAGAAUAUCAUGAAAAUUGGGAAAUAAAAAUACUAGUGAAACUACUGGGCAAGGUAGGUAAGGCUUUGUGGAGAAUGGCUCCAUUGGUGGGUCUGUGGUUACUUUGGAGAGAAAGGUAGUCAUUGCUUUAGAAAUAUAAGUGGGCAAAUUUUGGAGGGUACUUGAGAAGGCGAAAUCAAGCAUAAUGGAAUGGGCAAAAGCUUCAAAUUUAAGUGAGCUUUAGAUAGGGACUAUGUUGGAUAUGUAUAUUUGGCAUGGUCACUUUUAUGUGUUAUGUGUUUUUUUUUUUUUCCUUUUCACAUGUAUUUAUUGUAUGGUUUAUAUAUGAAAUGGUCCUUGCUAGAAUGGAAUGGCGGAAAAGGAUUAAUGUAGCCGACCCCAAUUAGUUGGGAUAAGGCUUAAUGAUGAUGAUGUUGAUGAUUUAGAUGUCUUUGUAUGAGGUGAUGGUUCUUACCAUACAGGUUUGCCAUGCAUGCCUUUCUACCUCUACUGCUCAACUAGGGUUGACCGAGCUUCACUUUGGACUUAUUCCUACAUUAGGAGUUGAAUCCAUGGCCUGCAUCACUUAGGUCAUAACUAGGGAGCUUGGUCAUUAUGAUUGGUAGGAGUUGUCAUUAAGGUUUGCUUUUCUCCUCUUGAUCAAGAGCCGCAUGUUUGUUGUUUGAUUUGGUUGUGCAUCUAAAUGUAGUCCAAGUGUUUGAAUUAAGGUUAGUUUUUCGUUACAACUAAAUAUCAGCUCGCAAACUUAUUUUCUGAAUGUGUUCUACAUUACUCUGCCUGAGUAUUGCAGAGUAACUCUUUCCACCCCAUCAUGCAUGGUUGUAUACUUGUGGAGUUCCAUCCAUUGACUUGACUUGUUGCAUCAGUCGUGCUGGUUUCCAACUUCCUUGCUAGAUGGAGAAAGGCCAUUGUAAGAGCUUCAAGAAAAAAGGACUACUUGGAACAGACCAUAUUCCUACAAUUGUUAGGAAAAUGGAGAUUCCAUAUUUCUUGUAUGAAAUUGGAUUAAGUCUCCUACUGGUUGGAUGAGCUGGUGAAGAUUGCAUAACGUGUGUGAGUGAUUCAGGGUGCAGUUUUUUGUAGUAUUGAAAGAUAAAAGGGGGGCCAAUUGGAGUUCACUGGUGCCCAUUUAGUGGACUGACACAAUUUCCAUCAUCAUUUGAGUAAGCGUCAUUACCCAUCUAUAUUAGUUCAUAUUCCCAUAUUAGUCCAGAUUAAAGAGGUGAUUCAUGGCACAAGGCUGACUUAACACAUGUCACAUAUUCCCAUAACCAUGUCUUCUCAAUUGUUUUUUCUUU